rnacentral:rRNA from 1 species
UGGGGAAUCUUGCGCAAUGGGCGGAAGCCUGACGCAGCAACGCCGCGUGCGGGAAGAAGGCCUUAGGGUCGUAAACCGCUUUCAGGGGGGACGAAGCUUCCGGGGUUAAUAGCCUACGGGGUGACGGUACUCCCAGAAGAAGGUCCGGCUAACUACGUGCCAGCAGCCGCGGUAAUACGUAGGGACCGAGCGUUGUCCGGAAUCAUUGGGCGUAAAGAGCGUGUAGGCGGCCUGGUAGGUCUCGUGUGAAAGCCCGCGGCUCAACCGCGGAUCCGCACGGGAAACCCCCAGGCUCGAGUCCGGAAGAGGAGAGUGGAAUUCCAGGUGUAGCGGUGAAAUGCGCAGAUAUCUGGAAGAACACCCGUAGCGAAGGCGGCUCUCUGGGACGGUACUGACGCUGAGACGCGAAAGCGUGGGGAGCAAACAGG